AGUGAACGCUGGCGGUAGGCCUAACACAUGCAAGUCGAACGGCAGCACAGUAAGAGCUCGCUCUUACGGGUGGCGAGUGGCGGACGGGUGAGGAAUACAUCGGAAUCUACUUUUUCGUGGGGGAUAACGUAGGGAAACUUACGCUAAUACCGCAUACGACCUACGGGUGAAAGCAGGGGAUCUUCGGACCUUGCGCGAUUGAGUGAGCCGAUGUCGGAUUAGCUAGUUGGCGGGGUAAAGGCCCACCAAGGCGACGAUCCGUAGCUGGUCUGAGAGGAUGAUCAGCCACACUGGAACUGAGACACGGUCCAGACUCCUACGGGAGGCAGCAGUGGGGAAUAUUGGACAAUGGGCGCAAGCCUGAUCCAGCCAUACCGCGUGGGUGAAGAAGGCCUUCGGGUUGUAAAGCCCUUUUGUUGGGAAAGAAAAGCAGCAGGUUAAUACCCCGCUGUUCUGACGGUACCCAAAGAAUAAGCACCGGCUAACUUCGUG
rnacentral:rRNA from 1 species